rnacentral:rRNA from 2 species
UUAGGAAUAUUCGUCAAUGGGGGAAACCCUGAACGAGCAAUGCCGCGUGAGUGAUGACGGUCUUUAUGAUUGUAAAACUCUGUUGUAAGGAAUGAAACCUUAAGAUAGGAAAUGAUCUUAAGCUGACAGUACCUUACCAGAAAGCCCCGGCUAACUACGUGCCAGCAGCCGCGGUAAUACGUAGGGGGCGAGCGUUAUCCGGAUUUAUUGGGCGUAAAGUGUGCGUAGGCGGUUUAUUAAGUCUAAGAUUAAAGCCCGAGGCUCAACCUCGGUUCGUUUUAGAAACUGGUAGACUUGAGUGUGGUAGAGGCAAGUGGAAUUUCUAGUGUAGCGGUUAAAUGCGUAGAUAUUAGAAGGAACACCAGUGGCGAAGGCGGCUUGCUGGGCCAUUACUGACGCUGAGGCACGAAAGCGUGGGGAGCAAAUAGG